GUGAAUCAUCGAAUCUUUGAACGCAAAUUGCGCCUUUUGCGGAAGUCAUGUCUGUUUGAGGUCCCCAUUUAACAAAUAAUUUGCAUUUCGUGUGCACGCGUUGAUUAGCUUUCCAAAUUUGUGUGUUAUUUUUGGUUGCGCAUAAUAAACAGCGCGAUGCUUGUUUUCAGUUCGAGUGUAGUAAAAUUUUUUCUUGCUUGGGUUGUGAAAAGCAUGAUCGCGCAAUGGGUGUGGCAAUGUUAGUGAAUCCCUGCCCCAACGCCACUCUUUCUCGCGAAAAAUUUAAU
rnacentral:misc_RNA from 1 species